CACGUAGGGGGCGAGCGUUGUCCGGAUUUAUUGGGCGUAAAGAGCUCGUAGGCGGCUUAGUAAGUCGGGUGUGAAACCUCCAGGCUCAACCUGGAGACGCCACCCGAUACUGCUGUGGCUAGAGUCCGGUAGGGGAGCGUGGAAUUCCUGGUGUAGCGGUGAAAUGCGCAGAUAUCAGGAGGAACACCAGCGGCGAAGGCGGCGCUCUGGGCCGGUACUGACGCUGAGGAGCGAAAGCGUGGGGAGCAAACAGG
rnacentral:rRNA from 1 species